rnacentral:lncRNA from 1 species
GCCUUGUACUUUUCAGCCUACGUUUUUAUAUUAAAUCUCAAUGAUUACAAGAAAAUGUACAAAUUUGGAUUCAUUUCUAUAUUGUAACAUGUAAAUGUGGAUGAAAUAGGAAUUUAAAAAUCAUUAAACUACAUAUUUAAUAAAAACUAUUGGUUGCUUCGUCAGUAUCAAUAAUGAAAAUGCUUUUUCAAACUUCUCCCAAAACCAUGAGAAAUAAUACCAGUAUGUAAUUGUAUGAAUUCUAUGUAAUUUUUUAUACGACCGCAAAUUUUGAAAAAAUUUUCGUCGUAUAUUGCUAUCACGUUGGCGUCGGCGGCGUCGUCGUCGUCGUCGUCGUCCGGCGUCCGAAUACUUUUAGUUUUCGCACUCUAACUUUAGUAAAAGUGAAUGGAAAUCUAUGAAAUUUUAACACAAGGUUUAUGACCACAAAAGGAAGGUUGGUAUUGAUUUUGGGAGUUUUGGUCCAACAUUUUAGGAAUUAGGGCCAAAAAGGGCCCAAAUAAGCAUUUUCUUGUUUUCGCACUAUAACUUUAGUUUAAGUUAAUAGAAAUCUAUGAAAUUUUGACACAAGGUUUAUGACCACAAAAGAACGGUUGGGAUUGAUUUUGGGAGUUUUGGUCUCAACAGUUUAGGAAUUAGGGCCAAAAAAGGGCCCAAUAAGCAUUAUUCUUGGUUUUUCGCACAAUAACAUUAGUUUAAGUAAAUAGAAAUCAAUGAAAUUUAAACACAAUGUUAAUGACUACAAAAGGAAGAUUGGUAUUGAUUUUGGGAGUUUAGGUCCCAACAGUUUAGGAAUUAGGGGCCAAAAAGGGACCCAAAUAAGCAUUUUUCUUGGUUUUCGCACCAUAACGUUAGUAUAAGUAAAUAGAAAUCUAUGAAAUUUAAACACAAGGUUUAUGACCAUAAAAGAAAGGUUGGGUUUGAUUUUGGGAGUUUUGGUCCCAACAUAAUAAGGGGCCCAAAGGGUCCAAAAUUAAAACUUUUGUUUGAUUUCAUCAAAAUUGAAUAAUUGGGGUUCUUUGAUAUGCUGAAUCUAACUGUCAUGACUGUGUAUGUAGAUUCUUAACUUUUGGUCCCGUUUUCAAAUUGGUCUACAUUAAGGUCCAAAGGGUCCAAAAUUAAACUUAGUUUGAUUUUGACAAAAAAUGAAUCAGUUAGGUUCUUUGAUAUGCUGAAUCUAAAAAUGUACUUAGAUUCUUGAUUAUUGGCCCAGUUUUCAAGUUGGUCCAAAUCGGGGUCCAAAAUUAAACUUUGUUUGAUUUCAUCAAAAAUUGAAUAAAUGGGGUUCUUUGAUAUACCAAAUCUAACUGUGUAUGUAGAUUCUUCAUUUUUGGUCCUGUUUUCAAAUUGGUCUACACUAAAGUCCAAAGGGUCCAAAAUUAAACUUAGUCUGAUUUUAACAAAAAUUGAAAUCUGAAGUUCUUUGAUAUGCUGAAUUCAAAAAUGUACUUAGAUUUUUUAUUAUGGGCCCAGUUUUCAAGUUGGUCCAAAUCAGGAUCUAAAAUUAUUAUAUUAAGUAUUGUGCAAUAGCAAGUCUUUUCAAUUGCACAGUAUUGCGCAAUGGCAAGAAAUAUCUAAUUGCACAAUAUUGUGAAAUAUCAAAAAAAAUUUAAUUAGAGUUAUCUUUCUUUGUCCAGAAUAGUAAGCAAGAAAUAUCUAAUUGCAAAAUAUUGUGCAAUAGCAAGAUUUUUUUAAUUGGAGUUAUCUUUCUUUGUCCAGAAUCAACUUAAAUCUUUGUUAUAUACAAUAUACAAUGUAUAUUCACUUUUUACUACCAACUGAUAAAUUAAAAUAAUCUUUACCAUUCAGUGAUAACAAGCAGUUUUUUUACAUCUUAAUAUUUUAUGAUGUAUUUAAAUGAGUAGUUAUUGUUGCAAACUCCAUUAGAAAUUUUAAUGAGAUUAGUUUUGGAAUAAGGGAAAGGGGGAUGUGAUUAAAAAAAUUGGGUUCAAUUUUCUCAUUUGAAAUUUCAUAAAUAAAAAAGAAAAUUUCUUCAAACAUUUUUUUGAGAGGAUUAAUAUUCAACAGCAUAGUGAAUUGCUCUAAGAGAAACAAAAAUUUUAAGUUCAUUAGAACACAUUCAUUCUGUGUCAGAAACCUAUGCUGUGUCAACUAUUUAAUCACAAUCCAAAUUUAGAGCUGAAUCCAGCUUGAAUGUUGUGUCCAUACUUGCCCUAACCGUUCAGGGUUCAACCUCUGCGGUUGUAUAAAGCUACGCCCUGCGGAGCAUCUGGUUUUUAAUGGAAAAAUAUGUGUUUAGUUUGUGGUUUGAAUGUUUAAACACCUAAAUAGCAAACAAAUUGUAUAUUCUAAUUGGAAUAUUCGCUAAAUAUCGAUCAAUAUCUUAACAGGCUUUUCUAGAAAUAUUGCUAUUUAAUAGAGGACAGGAAAAAGGCACUUUGAACUUAGUUAAAUUCAUGGCCUCUGAAAAAUAUGAUUACUAGUUAAUAUAAUCACGAAGAAAUUAUCAGAGUGCAUUAAUGUAAAAAUUGUUUUGUCCAUCUCAUGUAUUUAUUUCUCGAAAAGCCCAGAAAAAGCCUUGUAUUUCCAUUAAGAUUGAAAGCUGAGUAUGUCACCGUCUUAAAAUAUUUGGUUGUGAAACAGUUUUGUAUAAACAUUUCUUUUAUAUAAAUUUUAGUAUGUGUAUUAAAAUGUGUAUGUUUUUCUGACUAAUAUUUAGUGCAAUAAUUUGUUUUCAAAUCAGAAAUGAUUUUAAUCAUAUGUGCCUGUAUUGUUUCAGCAAGCAUAGAAACAAAAUAAUAAUGGACUGAAAAAUUGUCCCAAUUAAACAACUCUGCUAACAAAUUUUAAAAAAAAAUCAAGUCUUUGAGCUGAAUUUUUUUCAGUCUGCAGAUGGGACAUUUUUUUUAGUGAACAGGACCAGUAUAAAAUAUCUGCCACCAAAUUAUAUCUGUUUUCAGGCUUUAAUAAAUCGUUUUUGAAACCUCGGAGGAUUUGUUUUUUUUACCAAACAUGGUCUGGAUUAUCCUUACAAAUAUAUUUCAAAAUGCACAAUGAUAGGUAAUCACUUUACUAUUCCCUUAUUACUAUUAUAAAUAGUAAAACACAUGAGUAAAACUCAAAUUUGACUUAUUUGUGCAAUAAUCAUAUCACUCACUGUAACUAAAUGUUAGGGUAAUUUUUCAUAUAAUGGAAUCCCCCCUUUUUAUUUAACAAUAUAGAUAAUAUAAAAAUAUCGACAUUAGAUUCAUCUUAAAUUUUGACAAGAAGUUUAAUUCAGGAAUUUAUUUUUUGAAUAUCAGGUUAUUUCAGGCAGCUUUGAAUUGAUAAGACUAAAAGAAAAAGUUUAAAGAUUAUCUCCCUUUAAGUUUUAACAAAUCGUUUCAAUAUUUAUUUAAGUAUUUUUACUCUUAUAAGUUUUGUUACACAUUAUUCUUAUAAAAAUUAUAAUUGCUUUAUUUCUAUGCAAUCCAUAGUCACAAUGCUUUUGCAAAAUGUCUUGCCCAUAUAAACCAAAUUAACUUUUUGUAUUACUGGUUAUUGUUCAUUUUAAGUCAAUGAAUGCAGAAGCUGUGUGUAUUCCUUGUUUAGCUGCAGUGUUAUGAACUGUUUUGUCAUGUGCAUAAAGUUUGUGACUAAUAGUUUUUGAAAAAAGUUAAUAUUACUUAUAUCCUUAUUGCAUUUAAUAGCAAAUGCAGUAAAUACAAAAUGUUGUUCUUGGUGAAGUAAUACGAAAAUGGUGUUGUAAAUGUUCAAUCAUCAUAAUUAUGUGAAAUACCGGUAUACUUCUCUCAUACUUUUAAGAUUUGUAUAUUAUCAGUGUGAGUUUGCCUGUUUAUUUGUUAAUUUGUUUUCUUAAAAUGUAUCAUUUUCCUAAAUUUCAUAGUUUAAACUAAAAUGAAUAAAUUUGAUAUCUCCCAUAAAUGCAAAUUUAUUUGUACUUGAAACCUUAAUUUAUUAACAAUUGUAUUAAAGAAUCAGAUAUUUAUUGGACACAUUUCAUUGAAUUAUAGCAGUUUGACUAGUUUUGAUCAUUUAUAAGUUUAAUAUUUCCUUAACAACAGAAAAUGGGAUUGAAAUGUUCAGCUGAUUUUUACAGAGUAGUGUUUUUGUACAAUCAUAACUUAUCUUUUUGUCAUAGUUUUUUUUGUGAAAAGAGUAAUACUCUAUAACUAAACAUGUUUUCACUAAAGUGACUAGGGUGCAAGUACAAACAUUAUGAUAAGUCUUUUUUAAGUAAGUAACUCAAACUGAUAGUAUAAUUUGAAAGGGGUUCAAAAUUUGUAUAUGAGUUGUCAUGGUAUAAUGAUGUCUGACAUAUUGCUGUUGGCUGCCAUGUAAUAACCAACUGGGCUGAAAGUGGCAUUAAACACCAACUAAUCAAUCAAUCAAUCAAUUUGAUUUUUAUAAAAAAAAUAAUGAAUUUUACUCAGAGAUAAUCUUUUCAAUACAAAACAUCCAUUUGUCCAUUUUAUAUUAGUGAGUUAACAUUUUUGACCCAUGAGAAUACACAUGAGAAUACACACCAUAGACUACAUUUACUUCAUUCAUAACCAUGUAAAAUACAUUUUAUUGUUGUUGUACUGUCUAGUUUUAUAAUUGCAUUAAAAGUUGUAGACAUUUUAUUAUCUCAAUCUAAACCAUAGUCAUUCUUACUUGCUUUUAUGUUUAAGUUAUUAUAUAUAUUAUGAAUAAAAUAUUUUUUU